rnacentral:lncRNA from 1 species
AGAGCCUAUCUAAAAUCCUGUGUGACCACUCCAUUGCUUUAAGAAGGCAGAGAAAUAUUUCCCAGUCAUGGCAUGCAGCUUUUACAGUUUAUCAAGAUUAUUUUUUACAUGGUGUGUCACUGAAUUCACCUCAACCUUGGGAACUUCGUAGAGAAAUUAUCAUCCUCCAAAUUUACACCACUAGCAGGUGGCAGGUCUGGAACAAAACUCCACGUCUUGUUGUCUCUGAUAGCAACACUCUUUUGCUCACUCUGUGCUGCUUCCCCAUGGUUAUCAUAAUAAUAGCAAACCCACAGUCGCACAGUUUUAGAGCUGUGUGAAACUUUAUAUAUUAUGUAAUUUAAUAUUAAUGUUACUAUUAUUAAAAAGUCAAAGUUUGGCUCUGAAGAAAAGGAAUGGCUUACACAGUAUUAUUGGUUGAAAACACCAUAUUUUUGACUUCAGAUCUUCUCUUUCUCACACACAAACACACACAGAAUAGAGAGAGAAAGAGGGGCUAUUGAGGCAAAAACUAAAAAAGCUUAGGUGAUAGUAAUAAGGAAGUGUUCAGUAUGGUCAUGGUUUCAUGGUCGUAAAAUUCAGUAAAGCUAGAUUCUGAUAUGAAAAACUUAAAUAAUUUGAUUUUUCUUAACUGUACAGAAUAUGAACAAAGGCAAGUUUUUAAUCAAAUUCUUAUUUUUUACUAAAAUAGUUUAUUUACAAUAUUUUUUAUGUGUACAGCAAAGUUAUUCAGUUAUACAUGCAUAUAUAGCUAUUCUCUUCCCUUUGAGGUUAUUACUAUCUGUUGAGUACAGUUUUUCAUGGUAUAUAGUAGGUCCUUGUUGGUUAUAUAUUAUACAUCUAGUAGUGUGUGUAUACAUUAAUCUCAGACUUCUAGUUUAUCCCUCUCCCCCAUUUUCCCCUUUGGUAAUCAUAAAUUUGUUUUCUAUGUAUGCGGGUCUGUUUUUAUUUUGUAAAUAAGUUCAUUUGUGUCAUCUUUUAUUUAUUUAUUUAUUUAUUUAUUUAUUUAUUUUGUCUUGUUGUUGUUGUUGUUGCUAUUUCUUGGGCCACUCCCGCGGCAUACGGAGGUUCCCAGGCUAGGGGUUGAAUUGGAGCUGUAGCCACCGGCCUAUGCCAGAGCCACAGAAACGCGGGAUCCGAGCCACAUCUGCAACCUACACCACAGCUCACGGCAACGCCGGAUCGUUAACCCACUGAGCAAGGGCAGGGACCGAACCCGCAACCUCAUGGUUCCUAGUCGGAUUCGUUAACCACUGUGCCACGAUGGGAACUCCUGUGUCAUCUUUUAAAAGUUCCACAUAUAAGUAAUAUCAUGUAUUUGGCUUUGUAUGGCUUACUUAGUAUGAUUAUCUCUAGACUAUUAAAAUGAAAAUUAAUCCUUUUUAAAAUAAGUUUAUAGUUAUUUUUAGUUAUUAAAUAUAUCCUGAUCUGUAAAAUGCUCUUGGUGAUAGAAAUACCAGAACAUAGUCUCUACUCUCAAAACUUUGACUCUUGGUGUCAGAAGAGACCAUGGAAAUUUUAAAUCAUAACCAAAAGCUGUUUGACACUCAUCUCUCUAAAAGGUGGAAUCUAUGUCCUCUCCCCAUGAAUUUUGGUAGGCUUGUGACUGCUUCAACCAAUAAUAGUGAUGUAACUGACUUCUUAGUCAUAUAAGGCCAUGCUAACCAUAUAAGGUCAGGCUAACUUGAUCUGAUAGGUAAGAAGUCCAGCAAGUACUCUCUAGCCCACCAAGCUGGCUAGAGAACAUGCAUACACCCCAUGUAGGCUUUAGCACACCUGUUGAGCAGAAUCUCAUCAACCCCACUACAGCCCCAGAAUGUGAAUAAAGGCAUCUUUGACACUCUGUACAGUCCAACUACCAGCUGAAUACUACCAAUUACACUGUCAGUGCCCUGUAAAAUAAAGAACCAUCUGGCCAACCUCUGUCCAAAUUCCUGACCCACAAAAACCAUGAGACAUAAUAAGAUGCUUGUUGCCUUAAGCUACUAAGUUCUGGGGUUUGUUAUGCAGCAAUAACUAACCAGGACAAGGAUCUAACAAAUUUUUAUUUUUUUUAAAACAAAAUUUUAAAGGAUUCAGAAACAAUAGGAGGCAUUAUCUUGAUCUCUUGCAGUUUAUAAUUCAUUGGAGUGAUUGGAUAACAAUCACUCAUGUAGCAAUUAGAUCAAUUAAAGCCACAAAAAUCAAGGAAGUCUUACUUGAAAUAGACCUUGAAGAGGCAACAUAGUGAGGAGGCAGUUCGGGAGAGGAGAACAACACGAAAUUAUUGAGGGUCAAAACUGGUGUGAUAAUGACAACUACUGUUUAUUUAGUGCUUAUUAUGAGGCAAGAACUCCACCAAACCCUUUCAUGUAUGAUUUCAUUUAUCUGUUAAUGAACUUGCAAGACAUGGUUAUUAUGUCUUUUGUGCCUGGGAGGAAAUAGAAACCAGUUGGCCCAACAUGAGACAGAUAGUGUGCAGCGAGACUGUGGUUCCAGUGGAUUAUGUCUGACUCCAAAGCCCAUGAUUUUAAUUCUCAUUUCUAUACUGCUCCUCUGAAAUCACAUUUGCCAAAUGAGAAAUUCAACUGUAUUAUGACUUACAUAGAACUUUAUUCUUAUUAACAAAAUUCAAAAUAAAUUGCUUAAUUUUCUACAGCUUUAGUAAGUAAAUCCAACCGGGCAUAAAUUUUACCUUCUUGAGUUCACAACAUACAACUGUUGAUUAAAAUUAUUUGUGAAAAUCCAUUAAAAUGUGAUUUUUUAAAUAGACCUUUAAAAAAUCGCCUAUUUUUCAACAUCACCCCUUUAUUAAUAUUGUCUUUUCAGAUUUAAAAAAAAAAUCAUUUGCUCCAUUUGGGACUUAGCAACAUUUCUAAAAAAUCUUCUUUUAGGAUUUUCUUUCCAAGUACUGAGAAAAUGCCCUCUUCUAUGUAGCUGAAUGCAGGCUUGGCCAUCUCGUUGAUGGUAUUUUAACCCCUUUAAGCUAUUAAACAAACCUGAAAUAUGAUGAAGGAGCUCAAAUUUUCACACACUCAAAUAAAUGAUUAAUCCAAAUCAUAUUCUUAGCUUUAAGUAAAAGAAAACACAUGUGAAAAGGUGCAAAGAUCUGCAGGAAGAUAGGAUUUAAGUGGUCAUCUGGUAUGGAAAGGAUAUCGGGAGAUUGAGCAGUGUUGUUCUCUGUGAUUUAAAUUGUCAUUAAAACCAGACUCAAUCCUGAAGUGAUAAUCACAAGCUUUAAAUCACCUACUCUGAAUGUCUUAGAAAGUAGAAACCUCAUCUCUCAGGAAGAAAAAGUAAAUCGGUACAAUGCGCCCACCAAAGAAGGCAGCUCUAUGCGGGUGGCAGAGGAAGCUCCUGUGCCUCUUGGUUCUGAGGUGGCUUUGAGUGUACGGUGUGGCUGUGAGAAAAUGUGUGUGAACAGAAACAACCCUUUAUCUAGAAAGAGAAGAACUUACAUAACAGGCAGCAUAGCAGUGCUUCAAAAGUAACAAUUCUACACAGACACACACAAAAUGCCAACCGUCUGUUCCUCAUUAAAUUAUUGAAUUAAGAGUAUUUGAAAAUAGAUUAAAUGUCUGUCUAAAGAAGUAAAAUGGCUACAGUUGCGUUAUUGUUUGACAACCUGUAUAUUAUAAACAUGUCCCUGUCUUUAAUUAUUCUCUUACAUGGAAAUACCAAAAUUUACUAAUUUAAUCCUCUGUAGCUGGGCAUCAGAUUUUCUUUCCCUUCACCAGUAUGAAGAAAUAUUUGUGUUCGUUCAAAAUUCCCUUCAAAUACAUUCUUAAAAAUUAACUUAGUAGGUCAGAGUGUACAUGGUUUUCAGGCCUUUCUUACAUAUCACCAAUUUGCUCUAGGGGAAAAUCUUGCCAGUUUAUACUUUCAUAGACCAGAAUAGUGGUUCUGUCUUUUUACUGAGUAUAACAAUUCAAGCUUUUUCAUUUCAAAAAUGUGUAAAUGUAUGGAAUCUCUUUUUUUCCAUAUAUUGUCUUUUAAUUUUAUAAAUGCCUAUAUGAUAUAUAUAUUUUUUAACCAUCAAUUGUGUCAAUGUCAAUAUAUCCUUAAAGGUUCUCACUUUGUUGUUAGGAUGUUAGCUAAAUUGUCUGUAAUUUCUUCUAGAUUUUUAUGGUUUACUCUAAAAAGGAUACUUUACAUACACCUAGAUAUCAUUUUAAUGUAUAGUGUGAGAAGAAAAACUAAUGUCUUUCUGCUUUUAAAAAGGUAUAUUAAAAGCUAUAUACACAAAUGUUAACUUUUGUUCAAAAUCAUUAUCUUAGGAAGCUAAUCACACCUUUUAAUGAUACUCAGAACAUAUUUGUAACUUUGAUUUACGGUUGGUUUCAAUGCCAGUAGAAAGUUAUAGAGCCACAUAAACACACAACUCUGGGAUUUAUAGGCAUGCUUUGAUUUUGAUCAGAAGAAUGACUCAGCUUGAUCACUCACCUCAUUCAGCAGACGUGGCUUUGAUUGGCUUUUUCCUUCUCUAAAAAUAAAAUCUGACCUCAAUUUAUGAAGAUUAACCAUCACUAAGAAUAUCUCAAAGGAUUUGGACCAGUGGUACCCACAAAUUUCCCAAAGAGGACUUCCCAAAAUACACUGAGCCAUGAAAUAAAUGUCUAUCUUCCUAAAAUUACUAAUUUAAAAGUGACAAUACUAAUUAGUUUAUUGUUUAAAUUUUGGUUUUCACUAACAAUUAUACUCUCCGUAUUUUCUCUAAGAAUCAACUUUCUAAGUGCCCAAAGUUACAUAUUACACAUCACUUGUGUGAUUUCAAAAUAUUCAUGUACUUACAUGAAAAACCAUUUAUAUCAAAGCAAAAUGUGUUUUUGUGUAUGCAAGCUUGUGUUUUAACCAGACUAAUUCUAAGACAUAUAGAUCAAAGUAUCUCACAGAUAGAGAUAGAAUUAUGAACAAUAUUAUUGAAUAUAUAUUCUUUGUAUAGAUUUGGUGAUGAGAAGCAAAGAAACUAAGAACACAAAUCAUACAUUAUGCUAAUUAAUUAAAAUGUAAGUUCUAAUAACACACUUUUUAAAAAGAAAUUUCAUUCCAGGAAUACCAAAAAAAGCAUAGGGAUAGUCUAGAAAGUCAAGAAGCGGAAGAACUUAUUUAGAGGUGGCAAAGCAGUAUACCUAAAAUUUUCUUAUUCACUUUUUUUCUUCAAUGCAAAUGUUAUUGGGUGAUUCCUACACCCUGAAGCUACCACAGGCCUUUACUACUCCUUGGCCCCAAGAUAUUUGAUUUUGUAAUCCCCAAAUUGGAAUCUUUCAAAAACAUUAAGUGAGUGCUAAUUAAAUAAGCAAAACCCUAUACAUUUGGGACUUUGUGGUUAUUCUUCUGAGAAAGGGCUAUAAUUAGAAAAGAAUAGGGAAUUUAUCCUUCAAGUAUGAAAGGAAGAAUAAUGAAAUGAUUAAUUCCUUACCUUUGGAAAUCUAGUAACCUUAUGUCCUGUAACUUCUUAAUUCUUACCUGGACAUUCAAGGAGAUAUCACAAGUUUGGGGGUCCCUUUUUUCUUUGGUCAGGGAAAUUUAAGAAGCACCAGGACGAGAACACAAAUGGAAGGCCCCUAAUCAUUCCCUCUUCUCUUCCCAGUCCCAGUUUUACUCUGUACUUUGAAAGAUGUUAUGUACACAUGUGUGGAUAUUACAGCCACCUGUCCACAUUGAAGCUCUGUCCACCCUCCCCUUUCCCAAACAGCCAACUCAUAGUCAUAGCUGCAGACUAGGAAUAACCCAACCAGGUGGUGCUGUCAGUUACUGAGAGAAUGGACAGGAAAGAGUCUAUUCAGGCCCCAGAAGCAAGCUUAGGGCCAUUUAAGCAGGGUAUAGAAGAGUGGGCUCAGCAUCCAGGUUGGCAUGUCUUCCUAGCAUCGUGUCCUCCUUGCUGCAUGGGAAGUUGCAGGGCUAACAGAAGAACUCAGAAGAGCUCUUGCAAGCACAGAGCGUGGGACCCUCUUGCCUCAGUCCAAGGUGGUAACUAUUUCCAAGGACUAGAAUUUUGGUUAUCCACCUAGUCUUGGUUCCUAAACCAACACUUUCAUUCUGCCAUGUUCUUCCCAAAGACCCCAGCUUUGCCUGGGACCUGAUCUUGAAAAUCUUAUCUCUAUUUUCUUUUGCUGAGGACUUUGAUUUCUGUAUGUCUGCUCCAGGCUCAUUGAGCAUCUCAUUAAUCCAAAGAGCUGAAAUCUCUACUCAUUAUCUUUGAGCAUGUGAUAAUGCUGACUGCUAGUCUUAACUCACUGUAGCCUGCCUCAGUCGCCUUCUGACUACCUACUAUGCUUUAGUUGCUUACCCUCUGCUUUCAUUGUGUGGCCUGUUCUGGAGUAGAGUGAAGCUACUUUAGAAGAGAUUCACCCCCACCAGCUG